ACGCUCACUUCGGCAGCACAUAUACUAAACUAGGAACAAUAUAGAGAAGAUUAGCAUGACCUCUCCUCAAGUAUGACAUGCAAAUUCAUCCCAUACUUUA
ensembl:snRNA U6 U6 spliceosomal RNA